rnacentral:rRNA from 1 species
UUACCACAUGCAAGUCGAGCGGUAACAUGACUAGUAGCAAUACUAGUUGAUGACGAGCGGCGGACGGGUGAGUAACACGUAGGAACUUGCCCAGUAGUGGGGGACAACCAAGGGAAACUUUGGCUAAUACCGCAUAUUCUCGAGAGAGGAAAGCUGCCGCAUGGUGGCGCUAUUGGAGAGGCCUGCGUCCGAUUAGCUAGUUGGUAGGGUAAAAGCCUACCAAGGCGAGGAUCGGUAACUGGUCUGAGAGGACGACCAGUCACACUGGGACUGAGACACGGCCCACACUCCUACGGGAGGCCGCAGUGGGGAAUCUUGAACAAGGAGGGCAACCCUGAUCCAGCGGUGCCGCGUGAGUGAAGAAGGCCUUCGGGUCAUAAAGCUCUUUAGGCUGGGAAGAAGGUUGGUAGUUUAAGAGAUAAUCAAUUUGACUGUACCAGCAGAAUAAGCACCGGCAAACUCUGUGCCAGCCGCCGCCGUAA